rnacentral:rRNA from 1 species
GACGAACGCUGGCGGCGUGCUUAACACAUGCCAGUCGAACGAAGAGCGAUGGAAGCUUGCUUCUAUCAAUCUUAGUGGCGAACGGGUGAGUAACGCGUAAUCAACCUGCCCUUCAGAGGGGGACAACAGUUGGAAACGACUGCUAAUACCGCAUACGAUCUAAUCUCGGCAUCGAGGAUAGAUGAAAGGUGGCCUCUACAUGUAAGCUAUCACUGAAGGAGGGGAUUGCGUCUGAUUAGCUAGUUGGAGGGGUAACGGCCCACCAAGGCGAUGAUCAGUAGCCGGUUUGAGAGGAUGAACGGCCACAUUGGGACUGAGACACGGCCCAGACUCCUACGGGAGGCAGCAGUGGGGAAUCUUCCGCAAUGGACGAAAGUCUGACGGAGCAACGCCGCGUGAGUGAUGACGGCCUUCGGGUUGUAAAGCUCUGUUAAUCGGGACGAAAGGCCUUCUUGCGAAUAGUGAGAAGGAUUGACGGUACCGGAAUAGAAAGCCACGGCUAACUACGUG